UAUGACCAUAUCAAGUUGAAACACUAGUUCCCAUAUGAUCACUGAAGUUAAGCAACAUCAUGCCUGGUCAGUACCUAGAUUGGUGAUCGCUUGGGAACACAAGGUGCUGUAAG